AUGAAGACUUUUUCAGCACCGCCACUAACUUCCGUGCUGACAGCCAGUGAGGAAGAGCCGAGGGAAGACGGAUGGCUUCUGCACGUAUUUGCAGCUAGAGUAUUCAGAGCAAGUGGAUGCUUUGGCCCAAGAGAAAGAGGUUUCCUUCCAGCUGCCUGCUGCGCUGCAAGGGCUGUCAUAUGGGGGUCCCGUGCUGCGCAUUCUCUCUAUGCCUGACGACACCGUAAUCAUGAUCAGAGAAGAUGGAGCGAUUUAUUUCUGGUCCCUGCAGCUGAAGUUGAAAAGAAGAAAGAGAGUUUUUGUAUGUGAUUUUCAUUUGAUAAGGAUGCUGAGUGCUCCAGUUUGAUUUUAUUUGCUAUUUUAAACUGCUCUUCAAGUGGCAUGAUUACAGAAAUUGUGUCCUUGAAUGUAAUAUAUUCAUGUUGCCUUUUGCUAGUCUAUAGAAUGCAAAUAAAAUAUGAUCUCUAUAUGUAGUACAAGAUAAUGCUUCAUUUUGCUCCUCAAAUCAGAUGGAGUAAUGGACUACAUAUGACUCCAUCAUGUAAUUUAUCAUAUGUCUUAAUGAAUGACAAAUGGAAGAAAAUUUUCUGUUGUUUUUUUUCCUGUUAAUAAUUAUUUCAAUUUAGGCAGCCAUGCUAAGUUUGUCUUCUUCAAUCAGAAAUUCAGAAGGCAAAAGGCAUUUGGGAAGUAGACUUAGGAAUAAAAAUGCCUGACUGAUUCCAGAAUAUAUCCUGUCUUUAAAGUCAUUUUUUUAUUAUUAUCUCAUUCAACAAUAGUUGAGCCCCUGACAUAGCCGAGGCUCUCUGCUAGGUACUGCAGACAUAGAAACCCAUCUCAGCAUUCCAGAAACUUAUCGUCUAUACUAGAAGUUACAGCUAUCCUAAAUCCCUCAGGCUGCCAAAUAAACCUUCCCUAGAGAGAGGAAUAAAGGUAGCUCUUCU
rnacentral:lncRNA from 1 species